GGAUGCGAGGGCGAUCUGGCUGCGACAUUUGUCACCCCACUGAUCAUCAGGGUUGAUUUGGCUGAUCUGGCUGGCUAGGCGGGUGUCUCCUUUCUCCCUCACCGAUCCAUGUGCGUCCCUCCCAAAGCUGCUCUUUGAAGAAGAGGAUGGCCUUCCCCGAAUAGAGAUGGACCGGUCUUUGGGCGAGGGUAUACGAGUAGCUGUGCUCCCCUGCUAGAACCUCCAAACAAGCUCUCAAACCUAAGGUAAACAUGCUUUAUCGGGGGGGGAUGGCAACUGUCAUACAAAAAGAGAUCAACGAAGCUAAUUCAAAGUAGUUUUUUCUUUAUUAUCUUU
rnacentral:snRNA from 1 species